rnacentral:tRNA from 1 species
AAUAGGAUGUCUGACUAAAGUAGUAAAUUGUAAAUUUAUUUAAGAAUUUUUUUUGAUUCUCCUAUUA